GUUGCCCAGUAGAUACAACCCAAGAGGGGGGGGUGAAUUGGGUCUUUUAAAACUUUUAAGCUACUUCUAGCACUUUUUGAUUAAUUAUGCUAAGUUGUAUAUAUGCGCAGUGAAAGUUAAACUUAGCGACAGUUUGAUGUAUAGAAUGUGACUUGAUUGAGUAUGCUUGCAACUAAAGAAUUCGCGGAUAAUAGUUAAGCAAGCAAUUUAUCUAAGUGAGUAAGUGUGUGAGUUAGAUAAUGACAAAAAGCAUUACAAACACAGCAAAUN
rnacentral:lncRNA from 1 species